rnacentral:rRNA from 1 species
CUACGGGUUGCUGCAGUGAGGAAUAUUGCACAAUGGGGGGAACCCUGAUGCAACAACGCCGCGUGGAGGAUGACGCAUUUCGGUGUGUAAACUCCUUUUAUAUGUCAAGGAAAUGACGGUAGCAUAUGAAUAAGCACCGGCUAACUCCGUGCCAGCAGCCGCGGUAAUACGGAGGGUGCAAGCGUUACUCGGAAUCACUGGGCGUAAAGGACGCGUAGGCGGGUUGGAAAGUCAGGUGUGAAAUCCUACAGCUUAACUGUAGAACUGCACUUGAAACUUCUAAUCUAGAGUAGGGGAGGGGGAGAUGGAAUUAGUGGUGUAGGGGUAAAAUCCGUAGAUAUCACUAGGAAUACCUAAAGCGAAGGCGAUCUCCUGGAACAUUACUGACGCUAAGGCGUGAAAGCGUGGGGAGCAAACAGGAUUAGAUACCCGAGUAGUC